ACACGCAGGCGGUCUUGCCAGUCAGGGGUGAAAGCCCGGGGCUCAACCCCGGAACUGCCUCUGAUACUGCAAGACUAGAGACUAGGAGAGGGUGGUGGAAUUCCCAGUGUAGAGGUGAAAUUCGUAGAUAUUGGGAGAACACCAGAGGCGAAGGCGGCCACCUGGACUAGAUCUGACGCUCAGGUGCGAAAGCGUGGGGAGCAAACA
rnacentral:rRNA from 1 species